rnacentral:ribozyme from 1 species
UGACCAGCAACUCGUAUCCCUACCUCCUCGCGGUAGUGGCCUGGGUACGAGUAACCUCAGGGAAGAUCGGGUAACCAACCUCUGGUGGUAUGCUGACAGGGAAG